rnacentral:rRNA from 1 species
UGUAUAAUGGGUCAGCGACUUAUAUUCUGUAGCAAGGUUAACCGAAUAGGGGAGCCGAAGGGAAACCGAGUCUUAACUGGGCGUUAAGUUGCAGGGUAUAGACCCGAAACCCGGUGAUCUAGCCAUGGGCAGGUUGAAGGUUGGGUAACACUAACUGGAGGACCGAACCGACUAAUGUUGAAAAAUUAGCGGAUGACUUGUGGCUGGGGGUGAAAGGCCAAUCAAACCGGGAGAUAGCUGGUUCUCCCCGAAAGCUAUUUAGGUAGCGCCUCGUGAAUUCAUCUCCGGGGGUAGAGCACUGUUUCGGCAAGGGGGUCAUCCCGACUUACCAACCCGAUGCAAACUGCGAAUACCGGAGAAUGUUAUCACGGGAGACACACGGCGGGUGCUAACGUCCGUCGUGAAGAGGGAAACAACCCAGACCGCCAGCUAAGGUCCCAAAGUCAUGGUUAAGUGGGAAACGAUGUGGGAAGGCCCAGACAGCCAGGAUGUUGGCUUAGAAGCAGCCAUCAUUUAAAGAAAGCGUAAUAGCUCACUGGUCGAGUCGGCCUGCGCGGAAGAUGUAACGGGGCUAAACCAUGCACCGAAGCUGCGGCAGCGACGCUUAUGCGUUGUUGGGUAGGGGAGCGUUCUGUAAGCCUGCGAAGGUGUGCUGUGAGGCAUGCUGGAGGUAUCAGAAGUGCGAAUGCUGACAUAAGUAACGAUAAAGCGGGUGAAAAGCCCGCUCGCCGGAAGACCAAGGGUUCCUGUCCAACGUUAAUCGGGGCAGGGUGAGUCGACCCCUAAGGCGAGGCCGAAAGGCGUAGUCGAUGGGAAACAGGUUAAUAUUCCUGUACUUGGUGUUACUGCGAAGGGGGGACGGAGAAGGCUAUGUUGGCCGGGCGACGGUUGUCCCGGUUUAAGCGUGUAGGCUGGUUUUCCAGGCAAAUCCGGAAAAUCAAGGCUGAGGCGUGAUGACGAGGCACUACGGUGCUGAAGCAACAAAUGCCCUGCUUCCAGGAAAAGCCUCUAAGCAUCAGGUAACAUCAAAUCGUACCCCAAACCGACACAGGUGGUCAGGUAGAGAAUACCAAGGCGCUUGAGAGAACUCGGGUGAAGGAACUAGGCAAAAUGGUGCCGUAACUUCGGGAGAAGGCACGCUGAUAUGUAGGUGAAGCGACUUGCUCGUGGAGCUGAAAUCAGUCGAAGAUACCAGCUGGCUGCAACUGUUUAUUAAAAACACAGCACUGUGCAAACACGAAAGUGGACGUAUACGGUGUGACGCCUGCCCGGUGCCGGAAGGUUAAUUGAUGGGGUUAGCGGUAACGCGAAGCUCUUGAUCGAAGCCCCGGUAAACGGCGGCCGUAACUAUAACGGUCCUAAGGUAGCGAAAUUCCUUGUCGGGUAAGUUCCGACCUGCACGAAUGGCGUAAUGAUGGCCAGGCUGUCUCCACCCGAGACUCAGUGAAAUUGAACUCGCUGUGAAGAUGCAGUGUACCCGCGGCAAGACGGAAAGACCCCGUGAACCUUUACUAUAGCUUGACACUGAACAUUGAGCCUUGAUGUGUAGGAUAGGUGGGAGGCUUUGAAGUGUGG